ensembl:snoRNA
GAAUGGGGUGAGCUUCUAACCCAUGCCAGAGCAAACUGUGUCCCCAAACCAUUGCCUGGCCUCUGUGCCUGUAGGCUGCUGGCACUGAAAUGGCUUGCACAGUG